rnacentral:rRNA from 1 species
GACGAACGCUGGCGGCGCGCUUAACACAUGCAAGUCGAACGGAAAGGCCUGCUUUCCCUUGUGGAUUGCGGGUACUCGAGUGGCGAACGGGUGAGUAACACGUGAGUGAUCUGCCCCCAACUUGGGUAUAAGCCUGGGAAACUGGGUCUAAUUCCCGAUAGGACUGCAGGGUGGUGCCUGUGGUGGAAAACGAUUUUCUAGUGGUUGGGGAUGAGCUCGCGGCCUAUCAGCUUGUUGGUGGGGUAAUGGCCUACCAAGGCGGCGACGGGUAGCCGGCCUGAGAGGGUGGACGGCGACAUUGGGACUGAGAUACGGCCCAGACUCCUACGGGAGGCAGCAGUGGGGAAUAUUGCACAAUGAGCGGAAGCCUGAUGCAGCGACGCCGCGUGGGGGAUGACGGCCUUCGGGUUGUAAACUCCUUUCGACCGCGAGGAAGCCACCUGGUUGGAAGGGUGGUGACGGUAGUGGUAGAAGAAGCACCGGCUAACUACGUG